rnacentral:rRNA from 1 species
CCUACGGGGGGCAGCAGUGAGGAAUAUUGGUCAAUGGCCGAGAGGCUGAACCAGCCAAGUCGCGUGAGGGAAGACGGCCCUACGGGUUGUAAACCUCUUUUGUCGGGGAGCAAAGCGAACCACGUGUGGUUCAUUGAGAGUACCCGAAGAAAAAGCAUCGGCUAAAUCCGUGCCAGCAGCCGCGGUAAUAAGGAGGAUGCGAGCGUUAUCCGGAUUUAUUGGGUUUAAAGGGUGCGAAGGCGGAGGUGCAAGUCAGCGGUCAAAUUGCGGGGCUCAACCCCGUACUGCCGUUGAAACUGCAUCCCUUGAGUGCGCGAGAAGUAUGCGGAAUGCGUGGGGUAGCGGUGAAAUGCAUAGAUAUCACGCAGAACCCCGAUUGCGAAGGCAGCAUACCGGCGCGCAACUGACGCUCAUGCACGAAAGCGUGGGUAUCGAACAGGAUUAGAUACCCUGGUAGUC